rnacentral:rRNA from 1 species
CAUGCAAGUCGAGCGGCAGCACGGGGAGCUUGCUCCCUGGUGGCGAGCGGCGGACGGGUGAGUAAUGCAUAGGAAUCUGCCCGGUAGUGGGGGAUAACCUGGGGAAACCCAGGCUAAUACCGCAUACGUCCUACGGGAGAAAGCAGGGGAUCUUCGGACCUUGCGCUAUCGGAUGAGCCUAUGUCGGAUUAGCUGGUUGGUGAGGUAAUGGCUCACCAAGGCGACGAUCCGUAGCUGGUCUGAGAGGAUGAUCAGCCACACUGGGACUGAGACACGGCCCAGACUCCUACGGGAGGCAGCAGUGGGGAAUAUUGGACAAUGGGCGCAAGCCUGAUCCAGCCAUGCCGCGUGUGUGAAGAAGGCCCUCGGGUUGUAAAGCACUUUCAGCGAGGAAGAAGGCUUGGCGGUCAAUACCCGUCAAGAAGGACAUCACUCGCAGAAGAAGCACCGGCUAACUCCGUGCCAGCAGCCGCGGUAAUACGGAGGGUGCGAGCGUUAAUCGGAAUUACUGGGCGUAAAGCGCGCGUAGGUGGUUUGGCACGCCGGUUGUGAAAGCCCCGGGCUCAACCUGGGAACGGCAUCCGGAACGGCCAGACUAGAGUGCAGGAGAGGAAGGUAGAAUUCCCGGUGUAGCGGUGAAAUGCGUAGAGAUCGGGAGGAAUACCAGUGGCGAAGGCGGCCUUCUGGCCUGACACUGACACUGAGGUGCGAAAGCGUGGGUAGCAAACAGGAUUAGAUACCCUGGU